GAUGAACGCUGGCGGCGUGCCUAAUACAUGCAAGUCGAGCGAACGGACGAGAAGCUUGCUUCUCUGAUGUUAGCGGCGGACGGGUGAGUAACACGUGGAUAACCUACCUAUAAGACUGGGAUAACUUCGGGAAACCGGAGCUAAUACCGGAUAAUAUUUUGAACCGCAUGGUUCAAAAGUGAAAGACGGUCUUGCUGUCACUUAUAGAUGGAUCCGCGCUGCAUUAGCUAGUUGGUAAGGUAACGGCUUACCAAGGCAACGAUGCAUAGCCGACCUGAGAGGGUGAUCGGCCACACUGGAACUGAGACACGGUCCAGACUCCUACGGUAGGCAGCAGUAGGGAAUCUUCCGCAAUGGGCGAAAGCCUGACGGAGCAACGCCGCGUGGGUGAUGAAGGUCUUCGGAUCGUAAAACUCUGUUAUUAGGGAAGAACAUAUGUGUAAGUAACUGUGCACAUCUUGACGGUACCUAAUCAGAAAGCCACGGCUAACUACGUG
rnacentral:rRNA from 1 species